UUCACAACGAGCAAAAGGUUAUUCUCUACAAUGUUCUAGGACGAAAAGUCAUUUGCAAAUACUUUGGAAAACAAAUUGCAUAUUAUCUGCCUCGAAAAUAUUCAUUGACUUUAGUGUGGGCACGCAAUAUGUCCCUCACGGGAAUGAUUUCGAGGAUUCUACUUCAAUUGAUACGAUUACCACUUUUGGCAGCGUACGUCCCGCG
rnacentral:lncRNA from 1 species